UGCCAGCAGCCGCGGUAAUACGGAGGAUGCAAGCGUUAUCCGGAUUUAUUAGGUUUAAAGGGUACGUAGGCGGGGUAUUAAGUCAGUGGUGAAAUCUUGCCGCUUAACGGUAAAAUUGCCAUUGAAACUGAUACUCUUGAGUGUAGUUGAGGUAGGCGGAAUGUGUAGUGUAGCGGUGAAAUGCUUAGAUAUUACACAGAACACCAAUUGCGAAGGCAGCUUACUAAACUAUCACUGACGCUGAGGCACGAAAGCGUGGGGAGCGAACAGGAUUAGAUA
rnacentral:rRNA from 1 species